GACGAACGCUGGCGGCGUGCCUAAUACAUGCAAGUAGAGCGCUGAAGAGAGGAGCUUACUCUUCUUGGAUGAGUUGCGAACGGGUGAGUAACGCGUAGGUAACCUGCCUUGUAGCGGGGGAUAACUAUUGGAAACGAUAGCUAAUACCGCAUAACAAUGGAUGACACAUGUCAUUUAUUUGAAAGGGGCAAUUGCUCCACUACAAGAUGGACCUGCGUUGUAUUAGCUAGUAGGUGAGGUAAUGGCUCACCUAGGCGACGAUACAUAGCCGACCUGAGAGGGUGAUCGGCCACACUGGGACUGAGACACGGCCCAGACUCCUACGGGAGGCAGCAGUAGGGAAUCUUCGGCAAUGGGGGCAACCCUGACCGAGCAACGCCGCGUGAGUGAAGAAGGUUGUCGGAUCGUAAAGCUCUGUUGUAAGUCAAGAACGGGUGUGAGAGUGGAAAGUUCACACUGUGACGGUAGCUUACCAGAAAGGGACGGCUAACUACGUG
rnacentral:rRNA from 1 species